rnacentral:rRNA from 1 species
AGCAGCCGCGGUAAUUCCAGCUCCAAUAGCGUAUAUUAAAGUUGUUGCAGUUAAAAAGCUCGUAGUUGAAUUUCGGGGUUAGUAGGUUGGUCGUGCCACUGGUACGUACUGGUCUCACUGACUCCUCCUUCCUGAUGAACUGUAAUGCCAUUAAUUUGGUGUUGCGGGGAAACUGGACUAUUGCUUUGAAAAAAUUAGAGUGUUCAAAGCAAGCUAACGCUUGAAUACAUUAGCAUGGAAUAAUGAAAUAGGACGUUCGAUCCUAUUUUGUUGGUUUCUAGGAUUGACGUAAUGACUAAUAGGGAUAGUUGGGGGCAUUAGUAUUCAAUUGUCAGAGGUGAAAUUCUUGGAUUUAUUGAAGACUAACUACUGCGAAAGCAUUUGCCAAGGAUGUUUUCNUUAAUCAAGAACGAAAGUUAGGGAUCGAAGACGAUCAGAUACCGUCGUAGUCUUAACCAUAAACCUAUGCCGACUAGGGGUCGGAUGAUGGUUAAUUUUUUAUGUACUUCAUUCGGNGCCU